AUUGAACGCUGGCGGCAGGCCUAACACAUGCAAGUCGAGCGGAGCGGCGGACGGGGGAGGAAUGCCUAGGAAUCUGCCUGGUACUGGAGGGUAACGUCCAGAAACGGGCGCUAAUACCGCAUACUAUCAGAUAAGCCUCGGCCGGAUUAUAUAGUUGGUGGGGUAAAGGCCUACCAAGGCGACGAUCCGUAACUGGUCUGAGAGGAUGAUCAGUCACACGGGAACUGAGAAACGGUCCAGACUCCUAGGGGAGGCAGCAGUGGGGAAUAUUGGACAAUGGGCGAAAGCCUGAUCCAGCCAUGCCGCGUGUGUGAAGAAGGUCUUCGGAUUGUAAAGUACUUUCAGCGGGGAGGCGUUACCCGCAGAAGAAGCACCGGCUAACUCCGUGCCAGCAGCCGCGGUAAUAC
rnacentral:rRNA from 1 species